GGGGCGGAUGUAGCCAAGUGGAUUAAGGCAGUGGAUUUGUGAAUC
rnacentral:tRNA from 3 species